rnacentral:rRNA from 1 species
GUUUGAUCAUGGCUCAGGACGAACGCUGGCGGCGUGCCUAAUACAUGCAAGUCGAGCGAGCUGAAUUCAAAGAUUCCUUCGGGAUGAUUUGUUGGACGCUAGCGGCGGAUGGGUGAGUAACACGUGGGCAAUCUGCCCUAAAGACUGGGAUACCACUUGGAAACAGGUGCUAAUACCGGAUAACAACAUGAAUCGCAUGAUUCAAGUUUGAAAGGCGGCGCAAGCUGUCACUUUAGGAUGAGCCCGCGGCGCAUUAGCUAGUUGGUGGGGUAAAGGCCUACCAAGGCAAUGAUGCGUAGCCGAGUUGAGAGACUGAUCGGCCACAUUGGGACUGAGACACGGCCCAAACUCCUACGGGAGGCAGCAGUAGGGAAUCUUCCACAAUGGACGCAAGUCUGAUGGAGCAACGCCGCGUGAGUGAAGAAGGUUUUCGGAUCGUAAAGCUCUGUUGUUGGUGAAGAAGGAUAGAGGCAGUAACUGGUCUUUAUUUGACGGUAAUCAACCAGAAAGUCACGGCUAACUACGUGCCAGCAGCCGCGGUAAUACGUAGGUGGCAAGCGUUGUCCGGAUUUAUUGGGCGUAAAGCGAGCGCAGGCGGAAUGAUAAGUCUGAUGUGAAAGCCCACGGCUCAACCGUGGAACUGCAUCGGAAACUGUCAUUCUUGAGUGCAGAAGAGGAGAGUGGAACUCCAUGUGUAGCGGUGGAAUGCGUAGAUAUAUGGAAGAACACCAGUGGCGAAGGCGGCUCUCUGGUCUGCAACUGACGCUGAGGCUCGAAAGCAUGGGUAGCGAACAGGAUUAGAUACCCUGGUAGUCCAUGCCGUAAACGAUGAGCGCUAGGUGUUGGGGACUUUCCGGUCCUCAGUGCCGCAGCAAACGCAUUAAGCGCUCCGCCUGGGGAGUACGACCGCAAGGUUGAAACUCAAAGGAAUUGACGG